rnacentral:rRNA from 1 species
UACGUAGGGCGCAAGCGUUGUCCGGAAUUAUUGGGCGUAAAGAGCUCGUAGGCGGUGUGUCGCGUCGGCCGUGAAAACCUGCAGCUUAACUGUGGGCUUGCGGUCGAUACGGGCAUCACUGGAGUUCGGCAGGGGAGACUGGAAUUCCUGGUGUAGCGGUGAAAUGCGCAGAUAUCAGGAGGAACACCGGUGGCGAAGGCGGGUCUCUGGGACGGUACUGACGCUGAGACGCGAAAGCGUGGGGAGCGAACAGG